GUGCUUGCUUUGGGAGCACAUGUACUAGAGUUGGAAUGACACAGAAAAGGUUAGCGUGGCCCCCAUGCAAGGAUGAAACACAAACUCGUGAAGUGUCCCAUAUUUCU
ensembl:snRNA U6 U6 spliceosomal RNA